rnacentral:snoRNA from 1 species
GGUGGGGCCAUGACGAUGCAAAAUGCAUAGUUCAUCUGAUUUUUCGGUGAAGAACUAGCUCAAAGCAAAUGUCUUUCGCUCCUAUCCGAGCCCCUAC